UGGAUUACCACACCACCCUGUUGGAAACAUCGUCAAAAUUUUGUCACCAGCGCCACUCGCCCUCGCCACUACUGAAGCUGAGGAGAAGCAGUCGAUCACUCAGAUCUUCUUACGGCACCUUCAUCGUUUUUUGUGUUUCAAUGAAACCCUGACACAGUGAAGCAAAACGAGAAAUCGUAAAGAAAGGAUUGAGAAAAUCGUUGGAGUUGAUACGAUUACAAUGUCAGUUGCAGUUCCAAACCUGUUCACUAAUUCACGCUCUCAUCUCCUAUUCUAUCCCACGAAUAUUCGUGGCCAUUCUCUGAAGACCUCUGCUUUCGCUUUCUCGACAAUCUCAUCCAGGCCUAACGAAAACCCCUUGCAUUUCCAAAUCCUUGGGGACAGAGCUCUGCAUAAGAAAUUCGAACCCUUCGUGACUGAUCGAUGGCGUCUCAGAGCCUUUGAAUCUGGUGAGUCCCUUCCCAGUGAGGGCUUCAAUAACCUCAAUUUGGAUGCCUUCCUUUGUGUUGCUGAAGUGUUUUGUCUCGUUCCUUCGGCUGCUCUUUCAAUUGGAGUUGCCGUGAAUUGGGCGUUUUCUAGCUCGCAGAAGUCGUUUCCGUUGUUAUUGGCCAAUCGGGUUUUAGUUUGGCAGCUUGUUCUAUUGGUGGGUGCCGUUGCCAUCGGUGCUCUGAUUCGGAGUAGACAAUGGAAGAGGAUUUGUAGGGAUUCAUUUAAAUCGGGUACUUCGAGUUUCAGUCUCAUUGAUAGGAUUGAGAAGCUGGAGGAGGAUAUUCGGAGCUCGGCAACAAUUAUACGGGUGCUGUCGAGGCAGCUUGAGAAGUUGGGCAUCCGGUUCAGGGUUACUAGGAAGACAUUGAAAGAUCCCAUUACUGAGAUGGCAGCUUUAACUCAGAAGAAUUCUGAGGCAACUCGGGCUCUGGCUGCACAAGAAGAUAUUCUUGAAAAGGAGUUGGGUGAAAUUCAAAAAGUUUUGUUGGCAAUGCAGCUGUUCCUUUCUGCAGAGGGUCUAGGCCUCUAGGGAUGAACAAACGAAUUGGAACAUGGAGGACACCUAUUGCAGCCCAUUAUUGGGGUAUUUAUGCCAGGGUUUUCGGAGGCACUCGUUCAGAUGAGAUGGUUGUGCAACAUUUCAGUUUGGUGAUUGCUCACUGGGUUGCUGCAGAUUCUGUCUUUGCAGCUUAGCUACUUAUAGGUUCCAGGUCAUAGACUCCUCUCCCUACAUCACAGCAUCACAGUUGAGUGUAUCCCUCCUCCAGCCAGAUUUCUGAAGCUCAAUUUUGGUGAUUGUUCCUUGAGAAUCUAGGGCUUUCUGGAGUGGGAGAAUCAUCAGAGAUGGGCAAGGGACAAUUCUUGGAGCUUUCUUUUUAGUCCCAUUGCUUAAGACAGUUUGAUUGGGGCUGAGUUGUUGGAUUUAUGUACAGGAACAACAACAAAAACAGCUUGAGCUAAUUCUUGCAAUUGGGAAGGCUGGGAAACUGAAGGAAAGCAAGCGGGAGACUGCUGUCGAGGAAGAGCCAAUGGAGCAGUUUCGCCCAGUUUUGGAAGGGGUAAAACAGGU